rnacentral:rRNA from 1 species
UACGGGGGGGGCAAGCGUUGUUCGGAAUUACUGGGCGUAAAGGGCGCGUAGGCGGCCUGCUAAGUCGGACGUGAAAUCCCCCGGCUCAACCGGGGAACUGCGUCCGAUACUGGUGGGCUCGAAUCCGGGAGAGGGAUGUGGAAUUCCAGGUGUAGCGGUGAAAUGCGCAGAUAUCAGGAGGAACACCAAUUGCGAAGGCAGCUCGCUGGGACGUAACUGACGCUGAGACGCGAAAGCGUGGGGAGCAAACAGG